GAUGAACGCUGGCGGCGUGCUUAACACAUGCAAGUCGAGCGAAGCGGUUUAAAUGAGACUUCGGUGGAUUUUAAACUGACUGAGCGGCGACGGGUGAGUAACGCGUGAGCAACCUGCCCUUCGGAGGGGGAUAGUGUCUGGAAACGGACAGUAAUACCGCAUAACGUAUUUUUACCGCAUGAUAGAAAUACCAAAACUGAGGUGCCGAAGGAUGGGCUCGCGUUGGAUUAGAUAGUUGGUGGGGUAACGGCCUACCAAGUCGACGAUCCAUAGCCGGACUGAGAGGUUGAACGGCCACAUUGGGACUGAGACACGGCCCAG
rnacentral:rRNA from 1 species